rnacentral:rRNA from 1 species
UACAGAGGUCUCAAGCGUUGUUCGGAUUCAUUGGGCGUAAAGGGUGCGUAGGCGGCGCGGUAAGUCGGAUGUGAAAUCUCGGAGCUUAACUUCGAAACUGCAUUCGAUACUGCCGUGCUUGAGGACUGGAGAGGAGACUGGAAUUUACGGUGUAGCGGUGAAAUGCGUAGAUAUCGUAAGGAAGACCAGUGGCGAAGGCGGGUCUCUGGACAGUUCCUGACGCUGAGGCACGAAGGCCAGGGGAGCAAAACGGG